GAGGAUUGUGAUUGAGGAGAUGAAAACAAAAAUGGGAUUGAAUUUGGAGGACUUUGAGAAAUUAAGCAACGACGAUGUAAGAAAAAAUGUUGACAAUGCAAUAGGAGAGCUGAUGCAACCUGUAAAGACAAAGGUAAAUAAUUAUUGUUCUUGACUUCUCUAUUACAUAUAACGUAUUUUGUCAUUGAUGUGGUGGUAAGUCUAUGGCUCUUCCAGACCUCCCGUUUCACUAGUCCCUGUAGCUUUCACUGGUAUCAGGGCUAGGGGCAUUGUUUGUGUUGUAGUAUCUACUGUUUCGUUCUCUAACCACAGGCCAUUUUUGGGUAGCUACAGAGUCACUCUAAUGGUCUUGUGUCUUGCAUAACCACUUUUCUCAUAGCGGAAACAAUCCAUUGAUCACUCUUGUUAAUAUAAAGAAUGUCCAAAUAGGGCAAAAAAAAAUUACUGAUAAUAACAGGCCAUUUUCUGAGUUCUUCUCAGUCUCUCUCUCAAAGCCAGUCUAAGUGCAAAAU